GACGAACGCUGGCGGCGUGCUUAACACAUGCAAGUCGAACGGAAAGGCCCUGCUCUUGUGGGGUGCUCGAGUGGCGAACGGGUGAGUAACACGUGAGUAACCUGCCCUUGACUUUGGGAUAACUUCAGGAAACUGGGGCUAAUACCGGAUAGGAGCUCCUGCUGCAUGGUGGGGGUUGGAAAGUUUCGGCGGUUGGGGAUGGACUCGCGGCUUAUCAGCUUGUUGGUGGGGUAGUGGCUUACCAAGGCUUUGACGGGUAGCCGGCCUGAGAGGGUUACCGGCGACAUUGGGACUACGGGACGGCGCAGACGCCAACGGGAGGCAGCGGGGGGGAGUAUGACACAAUGAGCGGGAGCCUGAUGCAGCGGCGCCGCGUGCGGGAUGACGGCCUUCGGGUUGUGAACCGCUGUCGCCUGUGACGAAGCGGGAGUGACGGUAAUGGGUAAGGAAGCACCGGCUAACUACGUG
rnacentral:rRNA from 1 species